rnacentral:misc_RNA from 1 species
UACGUAGGGUGCAAGCGUUGUCCGGAAUUAUUGGGCGUAAAGAGAACGUAGGCGGUUUGUUAAGUCUGUUCUUAAAGACCAGGGCUCAACCCUGGGAGUGGAAUGGAAACUGGCAGACUUGAGGACGUCAGAGGAAGGUGGAAUUCCCAGUGCAGCGGUGAAAUGCGUAGAUAUUGGGAGGAACACCAGUGGCGAAAGCGACCUUCUGGGACGAUCCUGACGCUGAGGUUCGAAAGUGUGGGGAGCGAACAGG